rnacentral:rRNA from 1 species
UACGUAGGGGGCAAGCGUUGUCCGGAAUCAUUGGGCGUAAAGAGCGCGUAGGCGGUCCGGUAAGUCCGCUCUGAAAGUCCGGGGCUCAACCCCGGGAGGCGGGCGGAUACUGUCGGGCUAGAGUCCGGAAGAGGCGAGUGGAAUUCCUGGUGUAGCGGUGAAAUGCGCAGAUAUCAGGAGGAACACCAAUGGCGAAGGCAGCUCGCUGGGACGUUAUUGACGCUGAGACGCGAAAGCGUGGGGAGCAAACAGG